UACGGAGGGUGCAAGCGUUGCUCGGAAUUAUUGGGCGUAAAGGGGAGGUAGGUGGUCUCGUGUGUUUGGGGUGAAAUCCCUGGGCUUAACCCAGGACGUGCCUCGAAAACUACGGGACUAGAGUCUUGGAGAGGGUCGCGGAAUUCCCGGUGUAGCGGUGAAAUGCGUAGAGAUCGGGAGGAACAUCAGAGGCGAAGGCGGCGACCUGGACAAGUACUGACACUGAACUCCGAAAGCGUGGGGAGCAAACAGG
rnacentral:misc_RNA from 1 species